GCACCUUUGGCCGAGCGGCUUAGGCACCUGAUUUCCAAUCAGGACAGACGAGUUCGAUUCUCGUAAGGUGCU
rnacentral:tRNA from 1 species